GCAUGUUCCCAUUCAACUAAAGGGCAACCAAAGAAGAGCCACCCAAAAACGUGUGCAGGAACAGCAACGUGUUCGUUCAAAUCAUAAUAACUCCCUGCAGGAUUUAUUAAAACAACGGAGAUUUAACAAGAGCAAUGGACCAAUUGCUAAAAACAGCGAAGAAAAGAAGAUGCCGAUUAAGGCGAUUUAACCCAGGCGGAAGUGGCAGAAAAAAAAAAAGAAAGUGAAGUUCAUUCAUUCAUUUCCUUGUCACAACAGUGGGCGAAAUUUAAGCCAGAUGGGGGAUUUUGAAAAGUAAGUAUUUAAAAAAAAUUAUUUGAGCUUAUUGAAUGUUUUUUUCAUUACGGUAUGACAUUAAAACAGACAGACAUUGAGCAGUCCUUGAACUUUCUGGACGUUGAUUUGACGUUUACCAUUUACUUAUCAGCGCUGUAUAUAUGAGGCCUGGUAAAGACGGAAACACUGCAACAUAUUGACAACAAGUUAUGUGAUAAUGUUAGAAAUGACAAUACACAUUGAAAUUUGAUUUAAUGAAAAAAGCGGACCCGGCAACACAGCCGCCGUGUUGACGUCACAGCGGGUACCGCCCGUCUCGCAGUGUUGCGCAUGGUGUUGCGUAGACUCAGAUGAGAGUUAAAGUUUGCAGCGGGAGGCUGGACGUAUUUGUCCCAGUCUGAAUACAUUUUAAAACGGAUACAUAAACACACUUGAUGGCCACUCCACAUGCCAGUAUGGAAGCCACCAGCAGAGGUGGGAUAUUUGAGUGUCUCCUAAGGUCUCUGAGAAGAGUCUGGAGACUCCUGUGCUGCCGUGGACCUGAAGAGACUGAAAUCAAGCUUUCAGUUGAAGAAACAUCACCAGUGUUCAUUGACCAUAGCUCUGUCCGUCCAUGGUGAAGAUGAGAUGAUUAUAAUGAAUCCACUGAAGACCAGACAGAUGACAGAAAUUUUGGACCUACAUUUUAAAGCCAAGUUUAAAAGACUGAGAAAAUGGGUAUACUUCUCCUCGAAUCAUCGGUCCAGCUGUCCGACAUGUCCAUCUGUCUGCCAUACUGACAUGAAAUGUGACUGCUGCCAAAAAGUGAUGUGUAAUGGCCAAGUUAUGUGCAUUUUAUCAUUCUUACCUGCUCAGGUGACCAUCGUUUGCACAAGCUCUUCUGCCAUUGUCUCCUCAUACUAAUAGACCCAAGUUGUUUGUUCCAUGCAAGGAGGCAUUAGAUCUUUAGCGAGAUAAUGAAGUGCUGUACCAGUGAAGUGUCCUUAAAUUUUAGACCUGUACUGUUGUUUCAAGUACUGUCUAUUGGUUUUAAUAAGCGUAUGCACAUGUAGGUGCAUAAGCAAAAGCUGUGGCUGAAUGUUUUCAUACAGAAAUCAUGAUUCAUCCAUAAGUUACAGUAAUGCAAAGUCUUUGCACCAUCUUAGUUUGCUCUGGAUGAGAAUGCACCUCUAGAGAGCAAGGUUUGUUUGAUAGUCCCUCAUUUAGAGUUCAUUACAGCAAGAACAAGUAACAUGUGAAUCUGUCAAGAAUUGUGUGUGAACUUUAUGCACUUAAAUAUGCAACAGAUGAUUAGUGACUGAGGCCUGAUAUCUUCUGAUGCAUUUAAUUUAGGUUUUGUGCUGGUCCGUUCUCUACAGGGUAGUUAAUGAUUUUGUUUAACACUUACAAUGGUUUCUUACAAAGAGUUGUACCACAGCUGAUGGAUUUUAUUAUGCUGUUCUACUUGAACUUCUUAAAGGGAUAGUCCACCCAGAAAUGAAAACUCUUGUCAUUUGCUUUUUGUGUGGAAACACAAAAGAUGAUUUAAUGAAUGUUAGUAAGCAAACAGUUUUGGUUAACAUCGACUUCCACUGUUUGGCCAAAAAAACACUUGGAUUAAACCAUCUUUGGUUACACAGAAGAAAAAGUUAUACAGGUUUGCAUUCAGGGGGUAAAGUGACAGAAGCUGAAUUGUCCCUUCAAGCAGAAGCUUGUCACUCAGGGCAUGACUGUUUACAGUCAGGAUUGGAAAUGUUAUUUAUAAUAUGUGGAGAUUCAAUUAGAUUCAACCUGAUUAUGUAGAUGUUACACAUUUCAAUACUAGGAGCAGAAUAGAGACAAUCAUAUUUGACCCUCUUGACUCAGGCAAUGAUAAAACCAACAGUUUAGGGACCUUUUCUUUUUUAAUAUGCAUGCUCCAAAACCUGUCUGGUUGGAUUUUUGACAUUUAGGGAUUCCCCUAAAAUCCAGGGAAGCACAGGAUUCAGGAGUGUUGCAACAAACUUUAUCACCAUUACUUGAGUAUUUAUAAGUAGGCAUGAGGGAAGUUAUGAUUUCUCACAAUGUGCCUUCACUGGAAGUAAGUGACUACUAAUCACUUCCAUCGCUACCAACAAAGCUGUGUCAACAGCGCAAAUGAGCAAUAUUGCAUUUUUUGCAUACCACGCACUUUGCCCAAACUGGUGUCACAGUUGAGUAGAUACUCUCAUGAGUACUAGUGGGAUUCUUAACUGGAGGUUUGUUUUAACCGUAUACUGGUUGUUUUCUUUGAUUCAGCCCCAAAAAUUACAAUUAAAAGUGCUUUUGUGACCCUUCAUAAAAGAUAUAUAUAUAAAAAUAAAAAAAAAACCUGUGUUACACAAUCUCAUCUCCAGCUAGUCCAGACUGGUGCCUGUCCUGAAGCAGGGUUUCUCAAACUCACCUUCUUGUACUUUUCUAGUAAUCCCAAAGACCUUGAUUAAGUAGUUCAGGUGGAUUUUACCAGUUGAGAAACCCAGCCCUAAAGGUUUCAAUUGUAUCAUCUUUUGAUUUUUAGAUUUUUGAUCUUUUGCUAAGAAACCGAAGCACUUUUUUUUUUUCACAUCAUGGAUGUUAUGAAGUUAAAUAUGUCAGGAAAUACCAGUGUAUUAAGCAACCAAAAAUGUGUGUAUAUAUAUGAUUUAUGAUUGCAAUACUGUGAUAGGAUGUUUUAGGAAGGCUUUUUAAUAUAAUUAUUUCUUGUCUAUAAGUGUUUGUACAUGUUGCUUUAACCACAUACAGACUGAAUGUGUUGUAUAUUUUGAACAAAUAAAGUAAAAAUGAUCCAAA